ensembl:miRNA MIR4797 microRNA 4797
GACUCAGAAGACAGAGUGCCACUUACUGAAAGGUUUUUUCUCUCAGUAAGUGGCACUCUGUCUUCUGAGUU